CAGGGAGACAACAAAAUGUUAAAUAUUAUUAUUUUGUCACCUUAGGUCGAUCGGUAUCUCACUUUCUUAAUUAAUUAAGAUUUUCAUUUCCUAAGUUUUUCUAGGUCACACCCAUUAUUUUUCCUGGGCCAUUAGCUCAGGUGGUUAGAGCGCACCCCUGAUAAGGGUGAGGUCCCUGGUUCAAGUCCAGGAUGGCCCAUAUCUCUAUGUUGGGGGUAUAGCUCAGUUGGUAGAGCGCCUGCUUUGCAAGCAGGAUGUCAGCGGUUCGAGUCCGCUUACCUCCACUGAUUACCACCUCUUCCAUAAUUGGUAGAAAGGAAAUGUUUUGAGUUGUGAUCAAAUUCUGAACGAAUUCAGCUUCCUAAUGAAAACAUUAAGAUGCUGGACUCAUUGAUUUAAUUUCAUUGUUUUCAGAGAACCUUGACAACUGCAUAGAUUAUUUUUUUUUAAAGACAAUAAGCAUCUUUAAUGAUGCAGAUUUAUUAUUUGUGCGAAUGCAUUAAAUAACAAUUCUAUUAAGCUGAUGCUUCAAUUUUGAAGUUAUU
rnacentral:tRNA from 1 species